UCUCUUCAGUGAGAUGUUUUCUCCAUGAAGGUUCCUCCUUACAUUGGGUUUAUUAUCCUAUUACGCGUGCUUGAUUUCUACUGGAUAUUUUUGCCGAUGAUGGAUUUCCGUAUUGUUCAGCAGGAUAUCCCUGACGAUCACAGGGAACGCUCCAAACAAAAGAAAAUAAUUGUAUCAGGAUGGAAGCUUCGAAUGGCUAGCAGAACCGAGGCCGCAGGGACACCGUCGCAUUGAGGUAGUGCCAUGGCCGUAGGUGCUGAUGUCGCAUGGGAAGCACCGCGGCCGCGGGAUCUCUGUUGUGUAGUGCCACAGGCUUUGACUCGGUGUUGCGUGAUGGAAGAGCAGUGGUCAAGUUCGACAGCAUUGAAGCGAGAUGUGAGAUCCCAGCGCUCCAAAUGACGGGUCGUGGCCGUUGGAGGGCCAACAGAGGACAAGGGCUAACAACCGUUGGUGGAGGGAGAGUCUGAGAAAUCAUGAGCUUUUUCCUUCUAUGAAAAGUGAUAAAGUUACAACAUAGUUUGCUCAAAGGUGUGCAUCAGUGCAGAUUGAGCAAGGCACAAUCUGAGAAGAAAAACA